GCCGAGAUGGCGGAAUUGGUAGACGCACUAGCUUCAGGUGCUAGCGCCCGCAAGGGCAUGGAGGUUCGAGUCCUCUUCUCGGCA
rnacentral:tRNA from 1 species